rnacentral:rRNA from 1 species
UACAUAGGGUGCAAGCGUUAUCCGGAAUUAUUGGGCGUAAAGGGUUCGUAGGUGGUUUGUUAAGUCUGAUGUUAAAUACUGAAGCUCAACUUCAGCUCGCAUUAGAUACUGACAUACUAGAGUCAUGUAGGGGUUAGCGGAACUCCCUGUGGAGGGGUGGAAUUCGUAGAUAUAGGGAAGAACACCAAUAGCGAAGGCAACUAACUGGGCAUGUACUGACACUGAGGGACGAAAGCGUGGGGAGCAAACAGG